rnacentral:rRNA from 1 species
GGCGGGGGGGGGCGUCCCGGGCAGAGCACGAAGUGGAUGGGGAGAAGCGUGGGAGGGAAAACAGGGUUGGAUGCGAUGGUAGUGCAGCGCCGCAGCCCAAGCGGAGCUGUGAUGUGGUGUCGAUUCGGAGAUUCAGGGUGGAGGACAAGGGGUUAAGUUCGCUGCCUGGGGAGGACAGGUCGCACGCUGGGAAUUGAAUGGAAUUGAUGGGGGCCCGCCCAAGCGGUGGAGUAUGGGUUUAAAUUUGAUGCAACGCGAAGAACCUUCCCUGCCCUGCACAUUCCAGGAAUCCUGCAGAGAUGCGGGAGUGCCUUCGGGAAUCGGAACACAGGUGCUGCAUGGCUGUCGUCAGCUCGUGUGGUGAGAUGUUGGGUUAAGUCCCGCAACGAGCGCAACCCUUGUCCUUAGUUGCCAGCACGUAAAGGUGGGAACUCUAAGGAGACUGCCGGUGACAAACCGGAGGAAGGUGGGGAUGACGUCAAGUCCUCAUGGCCCUUCCGGCCAGGGCUACACACGUACUACAAUGGUCGGUACAGAGGGUUGCAAUCCCGCGAGGUGGAGCCAAUCCCAGAAAGCCGAUCCCAGUCCGGAUUGGAGUCUGCAACUCGACUCCAUGAAGUCGGAAUCGCUAGUAAUCGCGGAUCAGCUAUGCCGCGGUGAAUACGUUCCCGGGCCUUGUACACACCGCCCGUCACACCAUGGGAGUGAGUUGCUCCAGAAGCCGUUAGUCUAACCGCAAGGGGGACGACGACCACGGAGUGGUUCAUGACUGGGGUGAAGUCGUAACAAGGUAA